UCCUGAGGACCGGCAACAUGGUGCGAUCGGGGAAUAAGGCAGCUGUUGUGCUGUGUAUGGAUGUGGGCUUUACCAAUGGUAACUCCAUUCCUGGUGUAGAAUCCCCAUUUGAACAAGCAAAGAAGCUGAUAACCAUGUUUGUCCAGCGACAGGUGUUUGCUGAGAACAAGGAUGAGAUUGCUUUAGUCCUGUUUGGUACGGAUGGCACUGACAAUCCCCUUUCUGGUGGGGAUCAGUAUCAGAACAUCACAGUGCACAGACAUCUGAUGCUACCAGAUUUUGAUUUGCUGGAGGACAUUGAAAGCAAAAUCCAACCAGAUUCUCAAUAGGCUGACUUUCUGGAUGCGUUAAUCGUGAGCAUGGAUGUGAUUCAACAUGAAACUAUAGGAAAGAAGUUUGAGAAGAAGCAUAUUGAAAUAUUCACUGACCUCAGCAGCCGAUUCAGCAAAAGUCAGCUGGAUAUUAUAAUUCAUAGCUUGAAGAAAUGUGACAUCUCCCUGCAAUUCUUCUUGCCUUUCUCACUUGGCAUAGAAGAUAGAAGUGGGGACAGAGGAGAUGGCACCUUUCGCUUGGGUGGCCAUGGGCCCUCCUUUCCACUAAAAGGAAUUACCGAACAGCAAAAAGAAGGUCUUGAGAUAGUGAUAAUGGUGAUGAUAUCUUUAGAAGGUGAAGAUGGGUUGGAUGAAAUUUAUUCAUUCAGUGAGAGUCUUCAAGAAAAUUGAGAGGCAUUCCAUUCACUGGCCCUGCCGACUGACCAUUGGCUCCAAUUUGUCUAUAAGGAUUGCAGCCUAUAAAUCGAUUCUACAGGAGAGAGUUAAAAAGACUUGGACAGUUGUGGAUGCAAAAACCCUGAAAAAAGAAGAUAUUCAAAAAGAAACAGUUUAUUGCUUAAAUGAUGAUGAUGAAACUGAAGUUUUAAAAGAGGAUAUUAUUCAAGGGUUCCGCUAUGGAAGUGAUAUAGUUCCUUUCUCUAAAGUGGAUAAGGAACAAAUGAAAUAUAAAUCGGAGGGGAAGUGCUUCUCUGUUUUGGGAUUUUGUAAAUCUUCUCAGGUUCAGAGAAGAUUCUUCAUGGGAAAUCAAGUUCUAAAGGUCUUUGCAGCAAGAGAUGAUGAGGCGGCAGCAGUUGCACUUUCCUCCCUGAUUCAUGCUUUGGAUGAUUUAGACAUGGUGGCCAUAGUUCGAUAUGCUUAUGACAAAAGAGCUAAUCCUCAAGUUGGUGUGGCUUUUCCUCAUAUCAAGCAUGUUUAGCUUGUUUAACACUAUGAGUGUUUAGUGUAUGUGCAGCUGCCUUUCAUGGAAGACUUGCGGCAAUACAUGUUUUCAUCCUUGAAAAACAGUAAGAAAUAUGCUCCCACUGAGGCACAGUUGAAUGCUGUUGAUGCUUUGAUUGACUCCAUGAGCUUGGCAAAGAAAGAUGAGAAGACAGACACCCUUGAAGACUUGUUUCCAACCACCAAAAUCCCAAAUCCUCGAUUUCAGAGAUUAUUUCAGUGUCUGCUGCACAGAGCUUUACAUCCCCGGGAGCCUCUACCCCCAAUUCAGCAGCAUAUUUGGAACAUGCUGAAUCCUCCUGCUGAGGUGACAUCGAAAAGUCAGAUUCCUCUCUCUAAAAUAAAGACCCUUUUUCCUCUGAUUGAAGCCAAGAAAAAGGAUCAAGUAACUGCUCAGGACAUUUUCCAAGACAACCAUGAAGAUGGACCUACCGCUAAAAAAUUAAAGACUGAGCAAGGGGGAGCCCACUUCAGCGUCUCCAGUCGGCUGAAGGCAGUGUCACCUCUGUUGGAAGUGUGAAUCCUGCUGAAAACUUCCGUGUUCUAGUGAAACAGAAGAGGGCCAGCUUUGAGGAAGCGAGUAACCAGCUCAUAAAUCACAUCGAACAGUUUUUGGAUACUAACGAAACACCAUAUUUUAUGAAGAGCAUGGACUGCAUCCGAGCCUUCCGGGAAGAAGCCAUUAAAUUUUCAGAAGAGCAAUGCUUUAACAACUUCCUGAAAGCCUUUCGAGAGAAAGUGGAAAUUUAACAGUUAAAUCAUUUCUGGGAAAUUGUUGUUCAGGAUGGAAUUACUCUGAUCACCAAAGAGGAAGCCUCUGGAAGUUCUGUCACAGCUGACGAAGCCAAAAAGUUCCUGGCCCCCAAAGACAAACCAAGUGGAGACACAGCAGCUGUGUUUGAAGAAGGUGGUGAUGUGGACGAUUUAUUGGACAUGAUAUAGGUCGUGGAUGUAUGGGGAAUCUAAGAGAGCUGCCAUCGCUGUGAUGCUGGGAGUUCUAACAAAACAAGUUGGAUGCAGCCAUUCAAGGGGAGCCAGAAGCUCAAGAAAUUCCCAGCAGGUGAUUCCGAAGGCGGAUCACCUAAUUCUCUGUGUAAUGAAUACACACAUAUAUAUUACAAGGGAUAAUUUAGACCCCAUACAAGUUUAUAAAGAGUCAUUGUUA